rnacentral:rRNA from 1 species
UAUGGUGACUAUAGCACCGGUGUCCACCUCUUCCCAUUCCGAACAGAGCAGUUAAGCCCGGUAGCGCUGAUGGUACUGCCUUCACCGGUGGGAGAGUAAGUCGUCGCCAGAU